CACUCCCUACCUGCUGGGACGAAGGAGAUGUGGGCAUACUAGGGGCAGAGGUUGGCAUUCGGUCCCAGAAUGCUAAUGGUUAGGGAGGGCACUAUAGAUGGGCACAGAGCACAGUCUCUCGAGCCAGCUAGGCUGCGGGAUCAGGGUUAUAAAUCCUUGCCAAGAAGAUCAUGGAAGGCAUGAGGUUCUCAUAAAUCAUCAUCAGGAAGGAUGGCUGUGAGACCUUAGAGAGAAGGUUCUGGUCAGAUCCAGGAUGCCUAUGGGUCUGAUGGAUGUCCCAGCACUUGGUCAAUAUGCAGGACAUGUCCGGUAUAAACCAUGCUUCGAUGAGACGAGAUGCGGGUGAGGUCACCAUGCUCUUCAAAGAUUUUGCUGAUGCCCAGGCGGGACAGAACCUUCUUCAUGUUAGUAGGAGAGGUUCAACUCUUGGAUUCAAGGUGCCUCAUAGUCUCUGACUACAUCCUGCUUCCUACCCAACUUCCUACAGAGCCCAUAUCCACUAGAAACAUCCUCAGGCUCCUUCCCCAUGUUUAUGACCUCCCCACAGCACACUGAGCUGUGCUGUACCCUGAGUCAGAUUAAAGCCCUGCAAGCCUGCGGCUAGAGACAACAGAGCUUAAAACCUCA
rnacentral:sRNA from 1 species